CGUUCCAUCCUGCAACACACCUCGUCCUGGAGGGUUUUUCCACAAGCAAAUGGGAAAGAAAAACACCAGGGCAGGUGCUUUUAACAACACGUGCGGAGUGAAGAUGCCAAAUUCAUUUCUGCAAUGUCUUAAUUAGCGACUCGCUGGUGACCUUGACUGAACCACCACCUCCUGCUAUUCGUGCAACUUUUGGAAAAGCAGGGGACCACGGCGGUGUGACCACCAUGGUGUGACCACCGAUCACCACGGGCGAGACAAACACCCGGAACCGCCACUGCCACCCUCCCAGGGGAGCCCCCAGAACCCUGCUCCCCACAGCUCAGCCAGGGACACGUGUGCUCCCAGACAGGGACAGGACAGCAGGAUUAUUCCAGCACUCACAUCUGACUUCCCCCCUUCCAGCCAAGCCCAGUGCACAGCCCAGGGAGUUGCUGUGCUGGGGAACCUUCAGCACCCCCUGACUCAGACCAACCCUGCUUUGAAUUAAAGCAUCUAUUUUAAGCCAUG